CCUUACAACAUCGUGGACUUGCAGAGUGGUUCACAUAUUUUGGCACUUCAUUUUCAAGAGGAACUGGAGUAGGUUCUUGCCAACAUUCCACGAAAUUACAGCUUUCAAGGGCUUUUUUGAUGUCUCCACUCCUUUGCUCCAAUAUUCCUGGAAAAUCCUUGAAAUGGUUGUACUGCUUCCAAGUUCUACCAGCAAUGCACCAAGAUGCCCAUCUUCUCACAGUCCCUUCCAGCAUCUGCCUAGUCUCAUCUUUGUUGUGUUUGCCAAGUUGCAGAGUGUGAGGAAGAUCCUGCUGUCAUUUGGGGAAAGGAAGAGCGCCCAGGUAAAGAAUAACCGAGGAAGAGCUGCCUGAAAGUGCGUGGAGUGAGCCAGCGCCCCUUCCCAGCCCACCCUUCUGCAUGGAGUCCAAAGAAGGCAGGGUGAUCCAAGUACUCUGGGCACACUCUUGGCCAUGGCAGGUCCUCUUGAAGCUGGUAUUGUGCUUGUGUCAACCCUUAUCUGUGCCCGAAUCCUGAGGACCAGCCUGGACCUGAACUCUUCAGGGUCUGGGAAGGCCUCAAUUAUUCCCCACUCUCUUCUCCCCCAUCCUUGCAUUUUCUUUUGCAAAACUGUAUCUAGGCCUACUGUCUCCUGUUUUUUCUCUUCUCCAGUUAUACCCCUUCCUGUUGUAUAUGUAGUAGAGCAAUCUGAAAUUGGAUAAAACUAGAAAUCUGCUACCUUUUCUUCAACCACGGAAAGCCCCACAUGCUAAGGAAUAACAUUGUUCACCUUACUCUCUUUCUGUGUCAAAGAGAAUAACAACAAUGAGAAAAAUAUAACAGCAUAUAAAUAUAACAUUUCCACAGCACUUUAAGGUUCACAAAAUGCUUUGCAUAUAUUACCUCAAAGAAAACUUUAUAUUGGAUGUACUGAUAUUUUUGGUGGACCUUAGCAAGGACAUGAUGUAGAGACAUAUAUUAGUUAAAUGGGUGCUGAGAUGUCAACUCCCUAGGGCUUUAUCAGAGGUGAACUAUUAUGGUGUAAGGCCCUGAAGAUUCCUAAGUAAACCUUUUCAUUGUUAGUCUGUUAUCCUACCACAGUUCUUGUUCUGAUUUAUUACCUACAUGCUCUUUUAUGUUUUCAUCUAUGACAACUUUAGUGGAAAAUUAAGAGAUGGUUGGUGAACAUCUAGGAAUGGAAGUAGUGAUUACAGCCAGCAUCUAGAAUAGGUCAUGCCAGACUAACUUCAUUUCUUUUUUGAUAGGAUUGUUAAAUAGGAGAGGAAUGCUCUGGAUUUAGUUUACCUAGAUUUGACAUAUUUUAAUUUUUUGGAGGGAUUUAUUUAUUUAUUUGUUUAUUUUUUUGGUGAGGCAAU